UACGUAGGGGGCAAGCGUUGUCCGGAAUCAUUGGGCGUAAAGAGCGUGUAGGCGGCUCGGUAAGUCCGCUGUGAAAGUCCAGGGCUCAACCCUGGAAUGCCGGUGGAAACUGUCGAGCUAGAGUCCGGAAGAGGCGAGUGGAAUUCCUGGUGUAGCGGUGAAAUGCGCAGAUAUCAGGAGGAACACCUGUGGUGUAGACAGCUUACUGGACCAUUUCUGACGCUGAGACACGAAAGCGUGGGUAGCAAACAGG
rnacentral:rRNA from 1 species